rnacentral:SRP_RNA from 2 species
GCCGGGUGUGGUGGCGCAUGCCUGUAAUCCCAGCUACUUGGGAGGCUGAGGCAGGAGAAUCGCUUGAACCUGGGAGGCAGAGGUUGCAGUGAGCCGAGAUCUCGCCACUGCACUCCAGCCUGGGCAACAGAGUGAGACCCUUUCUCAA